rnacentral:rRNA from 1 species
CAUAGGUUAAUGAGGCGAACCGGGGGAACUGAAACAUCUAAGUACCCCGAGGAAAAGAAAUCAACCGAGAUUCCCCCAGUAGCGGCGAGCGAACGGGGAGCAGCCCAGAGCCUGAAUCAGUGUGUGUGUUAGUGGAAGCGUCUGGAAAGGCGCGCGAUACAGGGUGACAGCCCCGUACACAAAAAUGCACAUGCUGUGAGCUCGAUGAGUAGGGCGGGACACGUGGUAUCCUGUCUGAAUAUGGGGGGACCAUCCUCCAAGGCUAAAUACUCCUGACUGACCGAUAGUGAACCAGUACCGUGAGGGAAAGGCGAAAAGAACCCCGGCGAGGGGAGUGAAAAAGAACCUGAAACCGUGUACGUACAAGCAGUGGGAGCCUCUUUAUGGGGUGACUGCGUACCUUUUGUAUAAUGGGUCAGCGACUUAUAUUCUGUAGCAAGGUUAACCGAAUAGGGGAGCCGAAGGGAAACCGAGUCUUAACUGGGCGUUAAGUUGCAGGGUAUAGACCCGAAACCCGGUGAUCUAGCCAUGGGCAGGUUGAAGGUUGGGUAACACUAACUGGAGGACCGAACCGACUAAUGUUGAAAAAUUAGCGGAUGACUUGUGG